GUGCCAGCCGCCGCGGUAAUACAGAGGUGGCAAGCGUUGUUCGGAUUUACUGGGCUUAAAGGGCGUGUAGGCGUCCCGAUUAGUCAGAUGUGGAAGCCCUGGGCUUAACCCAGGAAGUGCAUUUGAAACUGUCGGGAUUGAGUCAUGCAAGGGAGGGCGGAAUUCCUGGUGUAGCGGUGAAAUGCGUAGAUAUCAGGAGGAAGGCCGGUGGUGAAGACGGCCCUCUAGGCAAUGACUGACGCUGAGGCGCGAAAGCGUGGGGAGCAAACAGGAUUAGAUACCCCUGUAGUCC
rnacentral:rRNA from 1 species